UACGAAGGGGGCAAGCGUUGCUCGGAAUCACUGGGCGUAAAGCGCACGUAGGCGGGUCGUUAAGUCAGAGGUGAAAGCCUGGAGCUCAACUCCAGAACUGCCUUUGAUACUGGCGACCUCGAGUUCGAGAGAGGUUGGUGGAACUCCGAGUGUAGAGGUGAAAUUCGUAGAUAUUCGGAAGAACACCAGUGGCGAAGGCGGCCAACUGGCUCGAUACUGACGCUGAGGUGCGAAAGCGUGGGGAGCAAACAGG
rnacentral:rRNA from 2 species